rnacentral:rRNA from 1 species
AGGACGAACGCUGGCGGCGUGCUUAACACAUGCAAGUCGAGCGGUAAGGCCUUUCGGGGUACACGAGCGGCGAACGGGUGAGUAACACGUGGGUGAUCUGCCCUGCACUUCGGGAUAAGCCUGGGAAACUGGGUCUAAUACCGGAUAUGACCUCCUAUCGCAUGGUGGGUGGUGGAAAGAUUUAUCGGUGCAGGAUGGGCUCGCGGCCUAUCAGCUUGUUGGUGGGGUAAUGGCCUACCAAGGCGACGACGGGUAGCCGACCUGAGAGGGUGACCGGCCACACUGGGACUGAGACACGGCCCAGACUCCUACGGGAGCAGCAGUGGGAAUAUUGCACAAUGGGCGAAAGCCUGAUGCAGCGACGCCGCGUGAGGAUGGACGGCCGUUCGGGUGUAAACCUCUUCAGCAGGGACGAAGCGCAAGUGACGGUACCUGACAGAAGAAGCGACCGGCAACGUACGUGACCAGC